rnacentral:tRNA from 1 species
GGUUGUGGCUCAGUGAUAGAGCGCUUGCCUAGCACGUGUGAGGCUCUGGGUUCAAUUCUCAGCACCA